CCCGGGUGGUGCCGCUCUCUGCCUUGUGGGCCCUGGACGAGGUGCCUGAACCCGCUGCCACCCUUUGGCCUCGUCCGUCUGAGACCGUGUGACGGUGCACCAUAGGUGGGAACUGACCUCCUACACAUGUAUGCUGGGGAAACAAUGUAGCCAGCUUCCAAUACUGAGACCAAGGCAAAAUUGAGUAAGCUUGAAGAAUGAUGACCGAGGAAGUUGGCUUAUUUGGCGAACCCGCUCCAUCCUGUCCUGGUUGGCCGACGGGAAGGUCCUGUCGGGGAAGAUCUCCCUCAGUUUGCUCAGGAAAAACACCUCCAGGUUUCGACCGGCCCGGGCCACCUCCGAGUCGGGCUGCGGGCAAGCCGGAGCAGAACAGUGAGGUCAGAGAUCCUCUUUCAUUUAUGUGACUUCAACAUCACACCGCUAAUGAGGCCCUAAUUACUUGACUUUUAAAGCUCUUGUGCUCCACGAGUCUAAUGAGAACUGAAAUGUGUCCUCAAAGUCCCUUCCUCAUUUGCCCUCCUGGUCUUACAUCAAAUAUGAGAUUUACACUAAGAACAAUACUUUACGACUCACAUAGUUAAAAGUCGCGCAGUUCUUGAGCAUGAGCAGGACGUCGUGGACAAAGAGUUCUGGCAUGAAGUAGUGCAGAGUGUUGCUCUUGUCCAGCUUCUUGCGGAUCAGCGACAAAUCCACAGGUCUCUUUAUAACCUGGUAGUAGUUCCUCGCCUGAAGCACAUCCAAAGAACCAAUUGAAUGUCAGGAAAAAAGAUGGCGGCUGGGUUUUAAGGUGACCGACCUGACGACUGACAGGCUCGUGGAAAGGAGCGCUUAGCGGGUGAACGUACAGCAGUAAUGUCAACUUCUCACAUCUCUGUAGAUGAGAAAAUAAAUGCUUAGGUAACGCCUCCAAAUGCAAUAUCAUACGUUACGUUAUUGUUAUACCCUCUGGUCACGGUGGGACAGAGCGUAGGGAACGUUGACUCCUUCGCGGCAGAAGUUGUCAACUGGGUCGUGGUCAGUCCUGCACAAAGUACACGUCCAGUCACCCCUACAGGAAAGUAAAACCUCACUUUAGACAUCAUUUUAGCAUAUUUAGCAUCAAUUAGCAUUUUGAACAGUAGGUAAAGUCCUUACUCGUCUACUUUAGCUCUUAAUCUACUCUGGUUACUGUCUUGCUAUCAAUUAGCAUAGCAACUGUUAGCACUUAAUAGUUGUUAAUAUUUUAACAUCAAUUCUCAUUCUCAAUAUUAGCUAACGACGUACGUUGGGAAGCUAAGCAGUGAAGGAAGGUGACAGGCCAGGUGGUAAACUUUGGGGCAAAGGUCGCAGCACAGAAGAUCUCCUCCGUUCAAACACACAGCGCAGAAGUCUUCGCUGUCCAUCUCCUCGCUCUCGUCUUGGACCGUUUCCGGGGUUGGCUCGACACAUUUGAACUCUUGUAUCUGAUCUUCCGGUUCCAGAUCAAGCACCAUGAUCAGCUCCCGGUCAGGAUCCAGGUAAAAGAUAUCUGGGUCAGAUUUACUGGAAUGAACCAGAAUGUAUGGUGGGUCCGCUUUUGGAAAGCUGUCGGGAUGAAGUGGUUCCAUACAGGAUGUUCUCGUGAUGUCAUCCUGCCAGAGGUUGAAGUUAAGAGUCAUUGAUGGGCAAAUCAAAAAUAAGUCUCUAAGUGUUACUCGCUUCGAUGACAGAUCAUGAUCAAGUCAUGUGACUCAAGUCCCCCACCUCAGUCUCUUGGAUAUCCAGGAUGUCAGAUGCAAUUUCAUUGACUUCAUUCUGAAAAGAAAAUCAUCAUGAACAAUUUUUUUUCCUGGCAUGAAUCAUCCUUGUUGUGUUUAUUAUUCUUCAUUUUUGCACCCGCCAAGAACAAUCCAAGCAUUCCUCUGAGAGCUCGGCUCGGUUUUGGCACGGCAGUCGCACCGCAGACACCAAUGGCUGCAGGUUCAGUCGUUCCAAUCGCACAACAGCUUUGCGGGAAUUAUUCAGAACGCUUUUGACCUCCGGCCGGAUCCUGCAAGAACAGCCAGACAAUGUAAGAUGAGGAGCAAUUGUUUUCUUGUAAUGGGGCAAAGAGUUGCACUGCCCCUCCCCACAGAGGAUUCAAUUGCUACUCUGUAUUAAUUACUAGGCGAUAUGUUAUAGCCCAGUUGGUCCUGUUUUGUACAUUCAAAUUCCUGCUUUUUCUGAAAUGAAAAAAAUCUGUGUGGGUUACCUUAUUUUGUGAAGUAAAGUCUUUGUCAAAUGUUUUUCACAAGACGAGGAAGUUCCAUCAGUUUUUUUUUUUUCCAUGGUGAGUAGCUGCCAGAAGGAAAAACAUCAAUUAAAUUGAUAAUCUACUCACACUCUUACCUGGUUAAAAUUGUGAGACUCUGCUGUUUUUCCAGUCUGAAGAAGAGAUGACAGUGAGAGGAAUUAUGUUGUUUGAAGUCAAGUGUCAUGCGGGAGAAAAACAGAAGAGUUUGAUUGGACAAAAGGUGAAAUCCCCACAAGUAGAUGUCUCCUGCUAAUGAUGCCUUCACUUACUCUCCGGGGCUUUCCGUGCUCACAAACAACACCCGAGGUGAGUGUACAUUUACUGCUUCAAACCUUGAUGGACUCUUGUGGCAAAGCCCAUCCAUCUUCUAUAAUACUCAUAGAUUGUGAUAGUCGAUUAUUACGCAAUUGAA